rnacentral:rRNA from 1 species
UGAUCCCAUGCCGAACUCAGAAGUGAAACGCAGUAGCGCCGAUGGUAGUGUGGGGGUUCCCAUGUGAGAGUAGGUCAUCGCUAGGC